CAGCGAGCCGCGUCAGAGUCCGGCGCCAUGACAGUCCCGAAAUCCACUGCCAAGUAUAGUGGAUUUCUUCGUGUGGAAGAAAAUGCAGGUACAGGAGGGGAGACGGACUGAGUAAAUAUUUUACUUGGCUGUAUUCAUCAACGCAGUGAAGGAGGAACCUCAUACCGUGGGUGACAGGGAUGGAGAAGGCCUUGUGUUCCAGAUCCAACAGGUCAGCGUAGAGAGGGGUCACGGGACUGGGUGACAGGAGGAACACAGGCUGGCUUCACCCAGCACCCACAGAGCGCAGAGGGUUCCUGUGUCAUCCGCUUCUCUGCAUCCAGAACCCCAGCCCUCCUGGACAGCAAAACCACAAACGUGGUUUUUUGUACUGAUUUAAUAAAACAUAGCUUGACUGAAAUUAAAAAAGCUUCAGCCUGUCUAUGAAAAUAUAAAACAAAAUAUAGGGGAUUUACC